UGGGCCGGUAGCUCAGGUGGUUAGAGCGCACGCCUGAUAAGCGUGAGGUCGGAGGUUCAAGUCCUCCUCGGCCCACCAU
rnacentral:tRNA from 1 species